rnacentral:rRNA from 1 species
UACGUAGGGUGCGAGCGUUGUCCGGAAUUAUUGGGCGUAAAGAGCUCGUAGGUGGUUUGUCGCGUUGUUCGUGAAAACUCACAGCUCAACUGUGGGCGUGCGGGCGAUACGGGCAGACUUGAGUACUGCAGGGGAGACUGGAAUUCCUGGUGUAGCGGUGGAAUGCGCAGAUAUCAAGAGGAACACCUGCGGCGAAGGCGGGUUGCUGGGCCGACACUGACGGCUGAGGCGCGGAAAGCCCAGGGGAGCGAACGGG